CUUGUUCAUCCUUUGUUUCCUUCUCACUGUUAUUUCCCUUACUUAAAGUCGCAAACUUUGCUUCGAAUUCAACCCAUCUCUCACAUCUUCCCUUGCAAUCAAAUCUCCAACGAAAUCAAAUCUCUCUGCUCAAUUCUCACUCCUCUGAGGUCUCGGAAUUCUCAAAUGGAAGGCGGCUCCGCUAUCGGGUCGGCUUCGACUCUGUCAAACGACGAAAACCUCGUCGUCUCUUCGGAGGAUUCUUCUUCUCCGACAGAGAACGGUCUCGAGCUUCGUCUCACGUUGAGCCUUGGUCGUAAGGGGUAUCGAGAGUGCAGGGUUUCUCACGCUGAUGAUUCUUCAUCUUCAUCUUCAUCGUCAGCACCUUCUUCCUUGAGCAGAGCUAGCGUCACUGCUGGGAUCAAACGAACAGCUGAUUCCAUGGCGCCUACUAGCGGGCAAGUUGUGGGAUGGCCACCAAUAAGGACUUACAGGAUGAACAGUUUGGUUAACCAAGCCAAGACAUUGGCUGUGGAAGAAGAUCCACAGGGAGUAGUAAACAGGAAUAUAAGCGAUGCAACGAAGAUGAGAAGUUCCAUGUUUGUGAAGGUGACUAUGGAUGGUAUUCCCAUUGGAAGGAAAAUCGAUCUGAAUGCUCAUAACUGCUAUGAAUCCUUGUCCACCACUCUCGAAGAUAUGUUUCUUAAACCCAAAACAGUAUCAAGCACACAAGAAACAGAUGGUCACUUGGAAACAAGGCUUAAGAUACUACCAGAUGGGUCUUCUGGAUUAGUACUAACUUACGAAGACAAGGAAGGAGAUUGGAUGCUUGUUGGUGAUGUUCCGUGGAGGAUGUUUAUUGGUUCUGUGAAAAGGCUCCGGAUAAUGAAAACAUCAGAGGCUACUGGUGCAGCUAAAAUGAACUUAUAAAGCAUAUAAAUAAAACUACAAGAACCAUUUAUGUUUGAAGCAAAUAAUAAGACAGAUCAAAGAGAAGACAACAACAAUGUGAAGCACUAAACACCGAUGGCUGUUUCUCGGCCAAGCCACUACGGCUAGUGUUUUCCUCAUUACUAUUGCUUUUCCUCCUCGGUUUAGCUUCCCCGAGCAUCGAUAUCACGUCUCUCAUCGAAGGUCUGUCUUUAGGGAGCUUCGUGGUGCAGAGAAGAGCUAUCUGUAGCACUAAAAGCAUCUCUUCUUGAACAUAUCUGCAGUUCCCAACGUUAGGAUCCAAUGCUUCUUCCAAAGAUAUGUUGUCUCUUAUCUUCUUCCUCACCCACCCCACAAUAUCUACAGACUCUCCAAACUCCGGGUCCAACGGUCUUCUUCCGGUUAACAGCUCAAGUAAAACGACGCCGUAGCUAUAAAUGUCUAUCUUCUCGUCCACCUGCAGUGUGUAUCCAUACUCUGCAAAAAUGACAAACCCAAUUAAAAAUUGAACUCGGUUAGAUCGAACCGGUUUAUAACCAAAUUAAAAUGUACCGGGAGCGAUGUAACCGUAAGAACCGGCGACCAUCGAAACGGUUUCUUUCUUCCUCGCCAUCAUCCUGGCCAAGCCGAAGUCGGCGAUUCUGGCGUCGAGAUUCGCGUCGAGCAAGAUGUUGUUCGAUUUGAUGUCUCUGUGGAUCACGGGAGGAUGACAAUCGUGGUGGAGGUAAGCGAGGCCGUGAGCUACGCCGAGCGCGAUGUUGAAACGCGACACCCAGUCCACCAAGAGCCUCCCGGCGGCGUUUUUCCCGUGGAUCGCGUCGCCGAGGUUGCCGUUGAGCAUGAACUCGUAUACGAUCAUCAUGUUUUUGUCGUUGUACAAGAAUCCGAGGAGCCUGACGAUGUUCCUGUGACGUAGCUUCCCUAAGAGGUUCACUUCGCCGACGAAAUCUCCGGUGGUUCCGUCCUCGAUAUCCGCGGCGGAUCUCCAUAGCUUCUUCACGGCGAGGACCGUCGUCGAUCGCGGCAUCUCCGCUUUGUAGACGAUCCCCGUCGCUCCCAUCCCGAUCAUGUUCGAUUCCUUGAUGCACGCGAGGAUCUCUGAGGCUGUGAACCCUAGGCGAUGAAACGCCAUGAGCCUCCACGGCCAUUCGCCUUUGCUCGCCGUCUCGAAGAAUCCGUUGGAGUACCAUCUCUUGUAGAGAGUCCUCGCGACGAUGACGAGAAUCCCCAGGAGUAGAGCCGACGCGAUCCCGAUCAACCAGCCGACGACGAUUCGUUUCCCGUGGAGACUCCUGUGGCGCGACGUUCCGUUUUGGGAGCUGCUACAAGGCGGGAGAACGCCGCCGCAGAGACCUGAGUUGCCUCUGAGAUCGUCUGGGUUUAUGGUUCUGAGGAAGCCGUUGGUAGGGACUGGGCCUGUGAGUUUGUUGUAGGAGACGUUGAGGAGUUCAAGCGCUGGGGAUGUUCCGAUGCUCUCAGGUAGUUUCCCGGUUAAGGAGUUGUUGGAAAGGUCAAGCACGGCUAAUGCGGACAUUGUUGUGACCUGUCUAGGGAUUUCUCCGGUUAGUUGGUUGUUUCUUAGGUUGAUGGUUACUAGCUUCUCGCAUGAGGCGAUGCUGGAGGGGAUGGUGCCUGUGAGAGUGUUUGAUGAGAGGUCGAGGUUUGAGAGUGAAGGACAGUCUUGAAACUGGUCUGGUACUUCGCCGGAGAGGUCGUUAUCGGAGAUCAAGAAGGCUUGGAGGUUGUGGAUGGAGAGGAUGGUGGAAGGGAGGGAGGAGGUGAGCUUGUUUCUGGAGAGAUCGAUGAAUGAAAGGGAGAGUGAGUCCGAUAUGUCUCCGGGGAUCCCUCCGGUGAGACGGUUGCUGGCAAGUUCGAGCCUUUGUAGCUUCUCAAGCUUGCCGAAGCCGAUGGGGAUGGAACCGUUGAGGAGAUUGUUCUGCAUUCUGACUCGAACUAGAGACUGGCAAGUGGAUAGAGUUGUCGGAAUUGGACCGGAGAAGAUGUUGUUGAAGAGAAUGAGCUUGGUUAGGUUCCCCUUGCUGCACAAUGUGGAAGGGAUCUCGCCGGAGAAGGAGUUUGUGGAAACGUCAAGCCACUCUAAGGGAGAAUUCUUCCCGAGAUCGCUUGGUAGCUCGCCGGAGAGCGUGUUGUUCCAGAGCUCGAGGGUGUGUAGCUCCGCCAGAUUGCUGAUCUCCGCAGGAACAGAGCCAGAGAGUUUGUUGCCCAUCAGGUUCAGUAGCUGAAGGUUCUUCAGCUUUGUUAUCUCCACUGGAAUCUCGCCGGAUAACGCGUUCUGUGAGAUAUCGAGAAACUUGAGAGUGGUAAUGUUACCGAUCUCUGGCGGUAUUUUACCGGUGAAGUGGUUUUGGUACAAGAGAAGCGUCUCGAGUGACUUUAGCUUCCCGAGCUCAGAGGGAAGUGGACCACUGAGAUCUCCGGUGGCUAGAUCAAGAUACUUGAGGCUGCUCAUGUUCCCAAACUCCGGUGGAAUCGGACCUUUGAACUCGUUGUAACCAAGAAUGGCUGUUUCAAGUGAAGAGAGCUCGCCGAGAACUCUAGGUAACUCGCCCGUGAGAUUAUUCGCAGAUAAUCCGAAAAAUCUCAGCUUCUGCAGAUUCUUGAACGAACGUGGAAGUGACCCUUGAAAGAAAUUCCCACGGAGAUCAAGAACUUCUAAAGAGACCAAGUUCCCGAGAUCUUCAGUUAAGUUUCCAGAGAGAUUGUUCCCUGAAACAUUUAGAUGAACGAGUCCAAGUGAUUCGUUGCCGAACACGAAAAGAUUCCCGGAGAAUUCAUUCUGGCUUAUGUCUAUAGAUUCCAACGAAGGGAGCGAUGUCGGAAGCAGAGAUUCAAAUCCGUUGCAUGAGACGUUGAAAGAGACGAGGCUUGUUAGCUGUUUGAUGGAAUCAGAGAUUUUACCCGUGAGAUUCAUUCCCGACAGGUCAAGCUUCUCAACAUUGCCGUGGGAGUUGCACUGAACACCGGUCCAGCUACAAUGGUCGCUAUUUCCUGGGAGCUUCCAGUCUUUGAGAAAGUUGAGGGGAUCGAUAAGAGUUGAUUUAACCGAGAGCAGAACAGAGAGGUCUUUGCCAUUGCCGGUGGAAGCUGAAACAGAGGAGGUAGAACCAAUGUAAUAACAGUAGUAGAGGAAGAGAACGAUAACCCUUAUCUUCAUCUUCGUCUUCUUCCUCUUUCUCACUGAACCUCGUCUCCUUAGUUCAUUACCAAGAACAAGACAAAGUGAACAUGCAAGGAAGUGGAGGAGGAAGAAGAGUAGAAUAAGAAGAAACUUGGCAAGUAACUGCUUGCUCUGUAUAUAUAUAUAUAUAAUCUAUAUCUGUGAUAUAUAUGUAUAAAAUGAAUCUUGGUUUUAUGUGGA